rnacentral:rRNA from 1 species
ACGGGAGGCAGCAGUGGGGAAUAUUGGACAAUGGGGGAAACCCUGAUCCAGCGACGCCGCGUGAGUGAAGAAGUAUUUCGGUAUGUAAAGCUCUAUCAGCAAGGAAGAAAAUGACGGUACUUGACUAAGAAGCUCCGGCUAAAUACGUGCCAGCAGCCGCGGUAAUACGUAUGGAGCAAGCGUUAUCCGGAUUUACUGGGUGUAAAGGGAGCGUAGACGGCGAUGCAAGUCUGAUGUGAAAACCCAGGGCUUAACCUUGGGCCUGCAUUGGAAACUGCUUUGCUAGAGUGCAGGAGAGGUAAGUGGAAUUCCUAGUGUAGCGGUGAAAUGCGUAGAUAUUAGGAGGAACACCAGUGGCGAAGGCGGCUUACUGGACUGUAACUGACGUUGAGGCUCGAAAGCGUGGGGAGCAAACAGGAUUAGAUACCCUGGUA